rnacentral:rRNA from 1 species
AGGGCGUAUGGUGGAUGCCUUGGCAGACAGUACCGAUGAAGGACGUUUGAGGAUGCGAUAAGCCUCGGGGAGCCUCCAACAUGGCUUCGAUCCGAGGAUUUCCGAAUGGGGCAACCCGCCGGCCGUCAUGGGCCGGCACGGAACCUUGUUGUUCCGGGGGUACGCAGGGAAGUGAAACAUCUCAGUACCUGCAGGAAGGGAUACUCCGUGAGUAGUGGCGAGCGAAAGCGGAUCAGACCAAACCAUGGGCGCGUGAUACCCGUCGGGGGUUGCGUCCGUGGUGUUGCGGGAGCGUGUGUCCCGGUUCCGACGGACCGGGCGGGAGUCAUAAAACGGCUUGCCAGGGGAACAGGCUUGAAGGCCUGGCCGUAGAGGGUGCCAGCCCCGUACCUGGACGUGAGCCGUCUUCCGAUCGUGUUGUCCCAAGUAGCGCGGGCCUCGUGGAAUCCCGCGUGAAUCAGCCCAGACCGUUGGGUAAGUCUAAGCAUACCUGUCUGACCGAUAGCGUACCAGUACCGUGAGGGAAAGGUGAAAAGCACCCCGGGAGGGGAGUGAAAGAGUUCCUGAAACCGUGCGCCUACAAUCCGUCGGAGCCUCCUCAAGUGGGGUGACGGCGUGCCUAUCGAAAAAUGAGUCUGCGAGUCAGUGGUGCGUGGCGAGGCUAACCCGUCGUGGGGGAGCCGUAGCGAAGGCGAGUCUCAAAAGGCGUUUUGAGUCGCGUGCCCUGGACCCGAAGCGGGAUGAUCUAGCCCUGGGCAGGUUGAAGCGCGGGUAAGACCGCGUGGAGGACCGAACCCACCUGGGUUGAAAACCGGGGGGAUGACCUGGGGCUAGGGGUGAAAGGCCAAUCAAAUUCCGUGAUAGCUGGUUCUCUCCGAAAUGCAUUUAGGUGCAGCGUCGGUUGAUUGCAUCGCGGGGGUAGAGCUACUGGAUGCUUGCGGGCCCGUAUGGGGUACCAACAGCAGCCAAACUCCGAAUACCGUUGAUGUGUAUUCCGGCAGUGAGUCGGCGGGGGAUAAGCUCCGUCGUCGAGAGGGAGACAGCCCAGACCGUCGUCUAAGGUCCCGAAGCGUGUGCUAAGUGGGAAAGGAUGUGGAGUCGCAUAGACAGCCAGGAGGUUGGCUCAGAAGCAGCCAUCCUUGAAAGAGUGCGUAACAGCUCACUGGUCUAGUGGUUCCGCGCCGACAAUGUAGCGGGGCUCAAGCACACCACCGAAGACGCGGCAGCAAUCUUCAUGGUUGCUGGGUAGGAGAGCGUCCUGCGAGGGGCGAAGCGGCCGGGUAACCGUGCCGUGGACUUCGUGGGAGUGAGAAUGCAGACAUGAGUAGCGAGAGACGGGUGAGGAUCCCGUCCGCUGGAUGACCAAGGGUUCCGGGGCCACGUUCGUCGUCCCCGGGUGAGUCGGGUCCUAAGGCGAGGCCGACAGGCGUAGUCGAAUGGAUGAACGGGUGGAUAUUCCCGUACCGGCAGCGAACCGUCCGAACCGAACGGAUGAGUACUAACCUCCGGUCGCGUGCGUCGUUCCCUUCGGGGUUCGGGGCGUGCGAUUGUUGGGAAUGUAGUCCUGGUAGGUUAGCGCACAGGGGUGACACGGAAUGGGAGCCGGCCGCGGAGGUGGUUUUCCGUGGUCAAGCACGCAGCCCGUCCCAUAGGCAAAUCCGUGGGACGUAUAGGGUGAGGUGCGAUGAUGGGCGCCUUUCAGGCGCGAUAUCCGGUGGUCCAGGCCGUCGAGAAAAGCCUCGGCGCGAGGGGCGUUGCCGCCCGUACCCCAAACCGACACUGGUGGUCAGGUAGAGAAUACCAAGGCGAUCGAGCGAAUCCUGGUCAAGGAACUCGGCAAAUCACUCCCGUGCCUUCGGUAUAAGGGAGACCCCUGAUGGUGAUGGAACUUGCUUCCGGAGCUUUCGGGGGUGGCACAGACCAGGGGGUAGCGACUGUUUACCAAAAACACAGGUGCAUGCGAAGGCGAAAGCCGCUGUAUAUGCACUGACGCCUGCCCGGUGCCGGAAGGUUAAGAGGAUCCGUCAAUCCCUUCGGGGACGAAGCGGUGAAUUCAAGCCCCGGUAAACGGCGGUGGUAACUAUAACCAUCCUAAGGUAGCGAAAUUCCUUGUCGGGUAAGUUCCGACCUGCACGAAUGGCGUA